rnacentral:rRNA from 1 species
GUCUUUUUGAAUUAAUAAUUUAAAGUCUAAUCUGCCCACUGAUAAUAUAUUAAAGGGCUGCAGUAUUUUGACUGUACAAAGGUAGCAUAAUCAUUAGUCUCUUAAUUGGUGACUUGUAUGAAAGAUUUAAUGAGAUAUAUACUGUCUCUUUUUAAUUUGUAGAAUUUAAUUUUUUAGUUAAAAAGCUAAAAUUUAUUUAAAAGACGAGAAGACCCUAUAGAGUUUUAUAUUUAAAUUAUAUUAAAAUUUUUUGUAAAAUUUAUUAUUUUAAUAUAUAUAUAAAUAUUUUGUUGGGGUGAUAAAAAAAUUAAAAUAACUUUUUUUAUAAUUUUACAUUAAUAAAUGAAUAAAUGAUCCGUAAUUUACGAUUAUAAGAAAAAAUUACCUUAGGGAUAACAGCGUAAUUUUUUUUUUUAGUUCUAAUAAGAAAAAGAGUUUGCGACCUCGAUGUUGGAUUAAGAUAAAAUUUAAAUGCAAAAGUUUAAAAUUUUUGAUCUGUUCGAUCAUUAAAAUCUUACA